rnacentral:rRNA from 1 species
UGGGGAAUCUUGGACAAUGGGCGCAAGCCUGAUCCAGCCAUGCCGCGUGGAUGAUGAAGGCCCUAGGGUUGUAAAAUCCUUUCGUUGGGGACGAUAAUGACGGUACCCAAAGAAGAAGCUCCGGCUAACUUCGUGCCAGCAGCCGCGGUAAUACGAAGGGGGCUAGCGUUGUUCGGAUUUACUGGGCGUAAAGCGCGUGUAGGCGGACUUGUAAGUUGGGGGUGAAAUCCCGAGGCUCAACCUCGGAACUGCCUCCAAAACUACAAGUCUGGAGCAAGAUAGAGGCAAGUGGAAUUGCGAGUGUAGAGGUGAAAUUCGUAGAUAUUCGCAGGAACACCAGUGGCGAAGGCGACUUGCUGGAUCUUUGCUGACGCUGAGACGCGAAAGCGUGGGGAGCAAACAGG